GAUGAACGCUGGCGGCGUGCCUAAUACAUGCAAGUCGAGCGAACAGACGAGGAGCUUGCUCCUCUGACGUUAGCGGCGGACGGGUGAGUAACACGUGGAUAACCUACCUAUAAGACUGGGAUAACUUCGGGAAACCGGAGCUAAUACCGGAUAAUAUAUUGAACCGCAUGGUUCAAUAGUGAAAGACGGUUUUGCUGUCACUUAUAGAUGGAUCCGCGCCGCAUUAGCUAGUUGGUAAGGUAACGGCUUACCAAGGCAACGAUGCGUAGCCGACCUGAGAGGGUGAUUAGCCACCAUGGGACUGAGACACGGUCCAGACUCCUACGGGAGGCAGCAGUAGGGAAUCUUCCGCAAUGGGCGAAAGCCUGACGGAGCAACGCCGCGUGAGUGAUGAAGGUCUUCGGAUCGUAAAACUCUGUUAUUAGGGAAGAACAAAUGUGUAAGUAACUAUGCACGUCUUGACGGUACCUAAUCAGAAAGCCACGGCUAACUACGUG
rnacentral:rRNA from 1 species